ACUAUUGUAGUUUAUGUAAAAUAUUGAUUUUGUAAAUCAAAAAAACUUUUAGUUAAUAGUA
rnacentral:tRNA from 1 species